GUAUAAAAGCGCUUGUCCUCCUCCACGUAGAUCUUUCCAGUCGCAUGUUGAAGUUKGAGAAGGAUCAUGGCUAGCGACUCUCUUGAUUACAACAGUUCAAGAGAUCGUGAACAUGAUGGGCCUGUGGGGAUGGAGGCUGAUGCCGUCAUAGAGGCUGUGAUGUCAUCACCCAGGCAUGGUCAAGACUGCCGCGUUGGCCAUCUCUAUCCUGCAGCAGCUGGACAUAAAGCAGAAAAGGACCCCAGCAGGGAGCUAGCUCAGCAGGUAUGCUGUACCUCAGAC